AGGAGCCGUGCGAGAUGAAAGUCUCAUGCACGGUUUUGAAUGAGAGAAAGAGAUAUAAUUAUAAUUAUAAUUUCUUAUAUGAACAAUCUUAUUUAUUUAUUCAAC
rnacentral:ncRNA from 1 species